CUGUGACGUCACCACUCAGCCUACCUCAUCGGCUUGAAACGCCAGGGGGAGGUGUACCUCGCUAGUGACGUCAUUUCACCAAUGUAUUCAUCCCGUCCACGGCGCCCUUGAGCAUGACGUCACUGAUGCUUGGGUCACUGCCGUUAUCUGUUCAAGUACAAUCCUUAUUUGGGCAAAGCCACGCCCAGUGACUGGCGGCGCAUUAACAUAAUGCAUUCUUUGAAGCCGUCGCGAGUUGCGACAGGUUCAGUACCCACGCCCCAUCCCUCGAUAUUUGGGCCGGACUCAUUAACAUAAUCUAUUCACGUAUGGAACCGCUCGUUGUGGCAGGGCAGUAUUAUCGUAUCUCGCCAGUGACGCCAUGUCACCUACUGCUGCCGCGUGACGUCAUGUGGUAACAGGAAGCUGCCACUCUGCCCGUGAACUGAAAUCCGAGCCCCCACCCCUCCCCCCCCUAACACUGGCUAUGCUCUAGCCUCUUCACUCGUCACGCUUUUGGCCCGACCCUAGCCAGGAGUUCAGGUUCAGCCCUUUGGGCUCUUCGCUUCGGGUCUUCAAGGUGGCGGCAGCUCCAGGGUGGCUCUUGAGUCUUCAGGUGAACGACGACUGCCGGUCCCGUUCAGGGCACCGGCUUUUAUACCGGAUUCUGGCUCAUUCUGCCCUGGUCACUCCUCCCUUCUGGAACCGUCCCGAGGGGCCUGGAGCGUGACAUUAUCUCCCAGCCCCCUUCUAGGGGGUCUGGGGUCUGUACCCCUGGUCCCGAGCUAUGCUGGGGUUCACCUUGGCCCAACGGCCUCACUUCUGCCCCCCUGUUGACCCAAGGCCGUUACUAAAGGCCAAAAGUAGCGGCAGUUACAGACAGUGUUCAAUGAUAUCGCUACAGAUCUAUAUAAUGCUCCGUCACCAGGGGCGGAGCCACAGCGGGGCUGGGGGGGACUCAGCCCCCCCUGAAAUUUUGGGAAAGUCGGUAAUCGGGAUAACCGGAUAUCCGGCUGCAGCAAAAUGCUGGCUGCCACCUUGUGCUGCCUUGCAGGCUGCUUGAGCGACAGCCUUUCAAACUUAUCAAACUUAUUAGCCACAUCAGCAGCUCCGACCUAUUAAUAAACUCCGCGUUCAAAGCCAAUACAAUUUGUUUUAUACAUUUGUGGCGCCCAUUGGAAAACAUACACUGGAUAUCUCAGAAUAUUGAAGUUAGCCCCCUCCCCAAAGUCAAAAUCCUGGCUCCACCCCUGCCCGUCACAGCGGCUUGUUUCUCUUUCUCACCUGAAGGCGGUUGCUGUUGUUGCGAUCAAAACGUCGUGAUCUAUUAUUUAUUUUUCUAUCUACGUGACUUUACCGAAAGAACCAAUGAGGAUGAAUUCCUGCAGUCAUGAAAGCUUCAUAGCAAGAUCAGAUGCGGUGGCCAGGCAUGGGUCUGGACAUACCACCACCUGUUUAACCAUGCCAGUGUGUGACAGUGUAAAGUUUGUGUUUUCAGUAAAGUCUAUUAACUCUGUUGAACACGGAGGUUAUAGCAAAAUAGUAGUUUAUUUUUGUUUUCCUUUGGAACUCUUUAUAAGAAU